UUCCUCGUGGCCCCAAUGGUCACGGCGUCUGGCUACGAACCAGAAGAUUCCAGGUUCAAGUCCUGGCGGGGAAG
rnacentral:tRNA from 1 species